rfam:Ramazzottius varieornatus DNA, contig: Scaffold005, strain: YOKOZTNA-1.
GGAGCGCUGGCGCAAUGGUAGCGCGUACGACUCCAGAUCGUAAGGUUAAGGGUUCAAAUCCCUUGCGUUCCC